GGGAACCUAAUACAACGGAUUGCUCAAUCCGUUGGAUUAGGUCACUUUUGCCGUUGUAUUAGACCUAAUCCAACCCCACCAAAUCUGACGGUUGCUAGCCGUUGUAUUAGGUCUAAUACAACAGUUUUUGACACCUAAUACAACGGAAAAAGCCGUUGUAUUAGCUCUUAAAUGUAGUAGUGCGUAUCGCCAUUAGUCAACAGGGCUCCAAUCCCCCGUUGACACGUGUCCUUGGAACCCUACAUGGGGGACUUGUCUGUCCCACUAUAAAUAGUGGGACAAACCUCAUUAAUAGGACAUUAAAAAAUACAAACACUAUUACCGAGAAAUAUUAAUUGCGGAAUUCUCCCAAUCAGCGAGAAGAACUUCACCUUUUCCGUACUUUUUCCUCUUGUACGUAUACUAACUUGAUCGUCGGAGGCGGAGCUCCUACCAAUCGGAGUCUUCGUGAUCUUGCAGGUACAGGCAUCGGCAGCUCAGUCUUGGAAUCGUAACUCUCCCGCAGGACACCUCAGAAAACCCCGAAACAAUUAUUGCAAAAAUAAUUGUGCCUCUUCUCUUUUCCACUUCUACACACUUCCUAAAUCUUUGCAUUUUCUCUCUCCAAAAAAUCCUCAAAGUGAUUCAAUCUUUUUGAAUUCUUCUAGCACUUCGAGCUUUUUCAACUAAUUCCAGCCAAUUUCACCAGAAAUUGACGUCGCCGUCGUGACUCCUGGGAGGAAAAGUUUGCGCAAAGUGGAGGUUGUGCUAAGCAUUGCUAAGGAAUAUUGAACAUUUGUGCGCCCCGUCGCAGUUGAAGAGGUUGAGGAAGAAGAAGGCGGUGAACAAGAGAUGGCGUCUGGUAAGUUGGUUGUGCUUCACUUGUUUUAUUUUUUAUUUUGUUGCUUCUUGUUUUGACGUGCGUUGUUCUUUUAGAGGCACAAUCUGGGAAGACCAAGAGAACUGCGAUGUCUUUCAAUGAGAUGGUGGAACACGCAACGAAGAAGAAGAAACAAACUGUUUAUGAUUAGUCGGACAUCAAGGUUUUGGACGUCAAGCCUCUCCAGAUACGUACCUCUCCUCGUGCUAAGGAGAUACCACCCAAGGCACCUAAGGAUUCUGAUUACAUGGUACGCGUACCAGCUAAUUUCCUCUCAGGUACAUCUAUGUCGUCCUCCCUUUGGCCUUCUGCUGAGAAGUUGUUGUUUCCUGGUGCUGAAAAACGUUUAGAGAAAAUGACGCCAUCUAGUAUCAUUAGUGAAGCGGUGUCGCUUCAGCUCAAUGCUUUGCAGGAUCUAGUGGCGGUGCGAGGUCACUUCAUUUCUGGGGAGAAGGAAAUGAACUAUCUUCGUGCUACUGUUAGCACUAUCAACUGCUGAGGGGGAGGCGACCAAGUUAAAGAAGGCUUUAGGAGAGAAGUUGAAGCAGAUUUCUGAGUUGAAUGCUUUAUUAGAAGAGAAGGGCAAGCAGGUAUCUGAGCUGGAGGCAUCCAUAGCUGAAGUUUGUGAGGAUACGCAAAACUCCAAGUGCCUUGACCAACUGACUGCUCGUGCCAAAUUGCUGAAGCGUUUCCUCGACGGUUGUCUGAUCACUAAAGAUGCUUAGAAGGAGGUGGAUGUUUUCCUGGUGUCUUUGGGUACUGCGACGAAUCUGGCUUCAGAUAUUAAGGCUCCUAGUGAGGAUGACCGUUCUACUGCGGACUCAUUGGAAAAGGUUGAUGAUGCAGCUUUCGGUGCAAAGACCAUCGAGGCUACUACAGAAGUUGAUGCCCCUGCAGAUGUUAGGCUCCAUGCUGGUGAUACUUCUGCAAAUAUUGGCGUCAAUGCUGAUGAUGCUUGACUUUUGUUGUCUCUGCCUUUUGUCGUACUGUUGAACUUUCUGCUGCCUUGAACUAUUUCUAUUUUUGCGUACUCUUUACUGGUCGUCAUGGGACGAUCAGGUUCAUUUCCUGCUUUUUAAGUACUUUGAACAAUCUUCUAGCGCUGUAUUUUUACUAGCUGUCGUGGAACAGUCAGUCUUUUUUGCAAACUUUGUGAAUCCUGCAAAAACUUUGUGCUAUGCAUAAAAAAUGUCGUGUGUUUUAUUACUUUGAAUAUCAUGCGUACAACCUUUGUGAAAAGAAUACAAAAUUUAAACGAACUUAGGAAGUUUUUCUAAGUGCGAAU